CCUGCCCUGGUUGGACAUCUAAGGUAGGGACAUUUAGGGUCCCUUCCUCCCCCCCGCCCCGUAGGACUGCAUCCUUCCUGUUGCUGUGGAAACGGGUGAUUCUCUUGGCCUCUUUCUCCUUUGCUGGCCUCAUUUAUGCACUCUCCCCACCAGCAAGCCCCAAGUGGGGAGCCCAGGCGACAGUGACACAAAAGGCCCGCCCUCUCCUCUUCUACGGGGUGGACGCAGCAACAUUCUGGCCUAAAUCGAGGAUUAAGAGAGAAGGUACCAUGAAAACCCUAGCGAUUGCCGUGCACCGUCCACUCGGGCUCUCAGGACUGUGAGGGGCAGCCUGGGGUGGCAGGAGGGCUCCUAAGGGAAGACCCGGCAGUGGAGCAGGUGCACAGGUGGGUGGGGUGAGCCUUCCCCUGUCAGUCACAGCGGGGAGGGCCACAGUGUCCACUCUGUGCUUUGGGUGUAGCCCAGGCUGCUCGGCCACGGCACCUGAGUUUUAAAAUGGACGCGUUUCACCUCUUCCUCUCCCCCUGCUCCUCCCUAGUCUCAGGGAAACAGGUCGCCUUUCUUCCCCCCGUCGGCAGAGCUCUGUCCCUGAGCACACACCCACAGGACCCCAAUGAUCCAGAAUUUGGGUUUGGCACCAGAAGAUCUCAGAGAGACUGUCCCCCACAUUAACACGGGAAUCACACUGCAACAGUGGACCCGGGAAUGUGGCCUUUGAGCCACCUCUUUAACAGCCCCGGGUCCUGCUGAUGGGCGGGAUCAGCCUCUGGGACAGGAGCCCCUGUGGGUCUCCUUUGCUGGCAAAGCCACAAACCUGCUCUUUCCUUUUUCUCAAAACCCUGUGGGGUUGCCCAGAGACCUCAGGCCCCUGGGGGUUUUAAGUGCGAUGAGUGACCAAUACGGGAGAGAGAAGAAGGCAGAAGUGGGGGGUGGGACUGACCGCUGGAGAUGGGGUGGGCUGCCAAAGUGGACAGAAGGUAAGUGUUCUCUUUACCAGAAAAAGGAAAAGGGCGACCUGUUUCCCUGAGACUAGGGAGGAGCAGGAGAGAGGAAGAGGUGAAACGCGUCCAUUUUAAAACUCAGGUGCCGUGGCCGAGCAGCCUGGGCUACACCCAAAGCACAGAGUGGACACUGUACCUUCCCCACUGUCCAUUUCUACAGUCCGUUUCUUUUUCCCGCACAGGAUCUGUUAAUUGUGUAUUUACCAAGAAAAGCGAUUCCUCAGCCCACACGUUCAUGUUUCAUCGUCCGGAGCACAAGUCAGCGCAGACUCUAAGGCCCCGAUCCAGGAACACUUCAUUGGAUCACGUUCACCCUGAACGUCACCAGCCUCCUCAGGUCCUCAGACUCUCCCUGGGAUCCUGAUUCCUACAGGAAUCUGCAUUCGCCUCUCUCUGGCCUCAGCCACACGAACAGCAGCGACCCCAGCAGCCCCGAACGCUGAACCGGGACCCUUGGCCGGAAGACCCCGACCUGAGGUUUCCUCCAAGUGCUGGAAGCCGUGGCAGUUUUGUCCCCCACACCCACGCCCUUCCUGGGAGACGAGAAGAAAUCUCUACCUUCCAUUUCUGUGGAAAGAUGGGAGGUAAGCGGUUCUAAGGGAGAGGAGGAGACAGGCUUGGCCCCCAGCCCUGGGGUGUGGCCAGGCCUCCGGGAAAGACCUCUGCCUGCUGAGGUCAAGGUUAGGCCCAGAGCUGGACAGAGCUGGGAGGGCUGACCCCAGGGCGGAGCAGGCUGCGACAGCUGGAGAGGGAGACCAGAGUGGAGUCUGCGGGCCGCCCGCUGGUUUUCACGGGCUGCCUCUGUCUCUCCCUCAGGGUCUCGACCCUCUGGCCGGACCAGCGCAGAGCACAGGUCAGGAGGAUGGGACACAGCCUAGGGCCCCACAGUGGGGACCCCUUCAGCCUCUCGGGUAAACUCACUCUGGCCCCAGCCCCACAGCCGUUAGUGGGAACAGCCAGGACGGAGGUCACCACUGUGCCGGGCGGUCGGGCGGAUGCAGGAGAGAAGCGGGUGUGACCACGUGUGCUUGCACGGCUGUCCCGUCUCUCUGGGAAGACGAAAGGCUGGGGCAGGAUGGGAACAGGGCCCACGGGUGACAGGCCAGACUUGGGCGGUGCCCUCAGUGCAGUUUGGCAUUGGGACCGGUGACAUCCCAACGCAGGCUGACCUGGCUGAGGCAGCAGCCAACGCUGGCAAUGGUGACCUCAGCAGCCUCCGGUCCUCGUGGGCACAAGAGGCAGCUGCACUGGCAGGUUGAGAGCUCCUCCAGGCUAGGAGGAGGGUGGACCCUGCCAGGUGAGUGGGCAGCCCUGCUGGCCACGAGGCCCUGCCCCGCUGCAGAGGAGGCCGGGAGCAUCUUUCCAGCUGUGCCCUGGGCGCUGCCCAAAGCCAGCGCUCUCAGGGAGGAAGAGAGGCUUGGAGAGGGGCGGCCGCUCUGGUGUGCUUGGAAUCUGGCUCCGCAGCCUGCCGCCUGGCCAACAGAAGCUGGUCCUCCACGCUGAGCCAGGGCCAUGGCUGGAGAUGACCAGCCCGCUGCCCCUGAGCUCCCGGCUCCUCCCUGUGCACAGCUGCAGACUCGGCAGCUGGGAGCCCCCUGGGGGAGGAUGCCGCACAACUGGCAGGAAGGAGGCUCAAGGUGGCUGGGCUGCCCUGUCCUGGCGGGAGCAUGGGACAUGCCAGGUGACAGGUGAGGUGGCAGAUGGUGGCAAGAGGGGUGCCAGUCUGAGAAGGAAUGAGGUAGUUCCUUGUCAACCAGGGUUUGUGUGCCAAGGACUCAGCCCCAGCCCAACUGGCCUGGCCCAGGCCCAGGGAGUGGGUCAGGGGCUGCUGCAGGCCCCGUCUGCACACGAAGGACCCUGUGAUGCCCCUUGGUAAGUGCAGAGCUGGCCCAGGACCCGCCUGCGCCUCCUGAGAGGUCCUCCCUCCAGAGGAGCAGGGACCAGCGAGUCCUUGGGGCCAGCAGCCUGCUCCCAGCCCAGCCCUAGGUGAGCAGGUGCAGGGAGUCCCUGGCUCGAGUCACAGGCAGGGGCAGGCGGCACCGUUCUGGACCCUGCAGAACUGUGGAUUGGGUUCCCUCUGGCUCAGACCCCAUUUCACUCACAGUGAAACCGACGCCCAGAGACAGGGAGUCCCCUCAGCCCAGGCUGCACAGCCAUCCGGGAGCCCGCAGUCCUGACAGAGGGCCUUGGAACCCUGAGCAGACAGCGCCCCCAAACUGCUUUGUGCCGUCUGGUCGACAACUGCCUGAAUGUUGCUGUUCCUGUCUGCAGAUGGGCCGCCUGAGGCCUUGGGGUGGAUGAGCACUCCGACUGUCUGCCCUCCCAACAGCAGGCCCUGCAGCCUCAGGGUUCUCUGUAGAUACAGGACCAAAAAGGGAAGUGUGUGCAAAGAGGGGGGGGA
rnacentral:lncRNA from 1 species